CUCAGAUUGAACGCUGGCGGCAGGCCUAACACAUGCAAGUCGAACGGUAGCACAGAGAGCUUGCUCUCGGGUGACGAGUGGCGGACGGGUGAGUAAUGUCUGGGAAACUGCCUGAUGGAGGGGGAUAACUACUGGAAACGGUAGCUAAUACCGCAUAACGUCGCAAGACCAAAGAGGGGGACCUUCGGGCCUCUUGCCAUCAGAUGUGCCCAGAUGGGAUUAGCUAGUAGGUGGGGUAACGGCUCACCUAGGCGACGAUCCCUAGCUGGUCUGAGAGGAUGACCAGCCACACUGGAACUGAGACACGGUCCAGACUCCUACGGGAGGCAGCAGUGGGGAAUAUUGCACAAUGGGCGCAAGCCUGAUGCAGCCAUGCCGCGUGUAUGAAGAAGGCCUUCGGGUUGUAAAGUACUUUCAGCGGGGAGGAAGGUGUUGUGGUUAAUAACCACAGCAAUUGACGUUACCCGCAGAAGAAGCACCGGCUAACUCCGUGCCAGCAGCCGCGGUAAUACGGAGGGUGCAAGCGUUAAUCGGAAUUACUGGGCGUAAAGCGCACGCAGGCGGUCUGUCAAGUCGGAUGUGAAAUCCCCGGGCUCAACCUGGGAACUGCAUUCGAAACUGGCAGGCUAGAGUCUUGUAGAGGGGGGUAGAAUUCCAGGUGUAGCGGUGAAAUGCGUAGAGAUCUGGAGGAAUACCGGUGGCGAAGGCGGCCCCCUGGACAAAGACUGACGCU
rnacentral:rRNA from 1 species